CCCGGUCGAGCAGGAAUAGUAGAGUACUGUUGUAGUUGUUUAGUUGGAGGAAGGACUGUUGGAUGUUGCGCGCAUACAAUGACUUUGGUAUGGCAGGGUUUCUGGGUGACAUUGUUAUUAGGGACGAUGUAGAAUAUACGUAAUAAGAAAA